rnacentral:rRNA from 1 species
AGAGUUUGAUCAUGGCUCAGGACGAACGCUGGCGGCGCGCCUAACACAUGCAAGUCGGACGGAGCUUAGAGAGCUUGCUUUUUAAGCUUAGUGGCGAACGGGUGAGUAACGCGUGAGUAACCUGCCCUAGAGUGGGGGACAACAGUUGGAAACGACUGCUAAUACCGCAUAAGCCCACGGUACCGCAUGGUACUGAGGGAAAAGGAUUUAUUCGCUUUAGGAUGGACUCGCGUCCAAUUAGCUAGUUGGUGAGGUAACCGG